rnacentral:rRNA from 1 species
AUUGAACGCUAGCGGCAUGCCUAACACAUGCAAGUCGAACGAGUGGCGGACGGGUGAGUAAUAUAUCGGAAGUGCCCAGUAGAGGGGGAUAACUACUCGAAAGAGUGGCUAAUACCGCAUACUAUUCGAUGGCCGAUAUCGGAUUAGCUAGUAGGUGGGGUAACGGCUCACCUAGGCGACGAUCCCUAGCUGGUCUGAGAGGAUGAUCAGCCACACUGGGACUGAGACACGGCCCAGACUCCUACGGAGGCAGCAGUGGGGAAUAUUGCACAAUGGGCGAAAGCCUGAUGCAGCCAUGCCGCGUGUAUGAAGAAGGCCUUAGGGUUGUAAAGUACUUUCAGUCGGGAGGCGUUACCUAAAGAGGAAGCACCGGCUAACUCCGUGCCAGCAGCCGCGGUAAUAC